UCUGGGGUCCUGUAUUACUUCGUUUGGAUUACUGUAAAGAAAUACCAGAGACUGGAUAAUUUAGAAAGAAAAGUGAUUUAAUUGACUGACGGUUCUGCAGGCGGUACAGGAAGUGUGGUGCUGGCAUCUGCUUCUGUAGGCCUCAGGAAGCCUACAAUCAUGGUGGAAAGUGAAUGGGGAGCAGGCAAGAGCCAGAGCAAGAGAGUGGGGAGGUGCCACAUACUUUUAAACAACCAGAUCUCCCAUGAACUCACUCAUCACCAAGGGGAUGGCGCUAAGCCAUUCAUGAGGAGUCAGCCCUCAUGAUCCAAACACCUCCCACCAGGCCCCACCUCCAAAACUGGCCAUUACAUUUCAACAUGAGAUUUGGAGGGGACAAACAUCCAAACCAUAUCAGGGCUGAAAUAACCUGGGGACCUCUAGUGGGCAGAUAGGCUGGUGACCACGUUCUUCAGGGUGCUGGUAAUUUGUCUUAUUAAUUCAUAGGCUUUCAGAAGAAGAGAAGCCAAAUGUGGACUUCAGCAGAUGGGGAGAACAGCACAUCCCCCAGAGAUCAUGGUCUUUUAUCUGGAUGCAGUGACCAGCUUGAGGUAGGUUUCAUACCUUUGCUAGAAGUCUUGCUGGAAUGUGAUUGAAUGACGGUGGCAGCUGAUGUACUAUUAGAAGACAGAGCUAUAGAUGGACAUUUCUCAGUAAUCAGAUGGAGUUUUGCUCUUGUCACCCAGGCUGGACUGCAGUGGUGCGAUCUCAGUUCACUACAACCUCUGCCUCCCGGGUUCAAGCAAUUGCCCUGCCUCAGCCUCCCAAGUAGCUGGUACUAUAGGUGUGUGCCACUACGCCCGGCUAAUUUUUGCAUUUUUAGCAGAGACGGGGUUUCACCAUGUUGGCCAGGUUGGUCUCCAUCUCCUGACCUCAGGUGAUCUGCCCACCUUGGCCUCCCAAAGUGCUGGGAUUACAGGCGUG
rnacentral:lncRNA from 1 species